UGGUCUAUCUUUGGAUUAACAAUUAGGGU
rnacentral:piRNA from 1 species